rnacentral:rRNA from 1 species
AGCAAUCCAUGAGUAAAGUGGCGUACGGGUGAGUAACACGUGGAUUAUCUACCCUUUAGUGGGGAAUAACCCUGGGAAACCGGGGCUAAUACCGCAUAAGCCUGGAAAGGGAAAGCAGCAAUGCGCUGAAGGAGGAGUCCGCGGCCGAUUAGCUAGUUGGUAGGGUAAUGGCCUACCAAGGCAAUGAUCGGUAGCCGGCCUGAGAGGGCACACGGCCACACUGGCACUGAAACACGGGCCAGACUCCUACGGGAGGCAGCAGUGGGGAAUCUUGCACAAUGGGGGAAACCCUGAUGCAGCGACGCCGCGUGAGCGAUGAAGCCCUUCGGGGUGUAAAGCUCUUUCGGCAGGAACGAUAAUGACGGUACCUGAAGAAGAAGCUGCGGCUAACUACGUGCCAGCAGCCGCGGUAAUACGUAGGCAGCAAGUGUUGUUCGGAGUUACUGGGCGUAAAGAGUGUGUAGGCUGUUCUCUAAGUUCGGUGUGAAAUCUCCCGGCUUAACUGGGAGGGUGCGCCGAAAACUGGAGGGCUUGAGUAUGGGAGAGGAAAGCGGAAUUCCUGGUGUAGCGGUGAAAUGCGUAGAUAUCAGGAGGAACACCUGCGGUGUAGACGGCUUUCUGGACCAUCACUGACGCUGAGACACGAAAGCGUGGGGAGCAAACAGGAUUAGAUACCCUGGUAGUCCACGCCCUAAACGAUGCAUACUUGGUGUGAGCCGUUCAUUC